rnacentral:rRNA from 1 species
GACGAACGCUGGCGGCGUGCUUAACACAUGCAAGUCGAGCGGUAAGGCCCUUUCGGGGGUACACGAGCGGCGAACGGGUGAGUAACACGUGGGUGACCUGCCCUCAGCUCUGGGAUAAGCCUGGGAAACUGGGUCUAAUACCGGAUAUGACCCCAUGACGCAUGUCGUGGGGUGGAAAGCCUUGUGCGGCUGAGGAUGGGCCCGCGGCCUAUCAGCUUGUUGGUGGGGUGAUGGCCUACCAAGGCGACGACGGGUAGCCGGCCUGAGAGGGCGACCGGCCACACUGGGACUGAGACACGGCCCAGACUCCUACGGGAGGCAGCAGUGGGGAAUCUUGCCCAAUGGGCGAAAGCCUGAGGCAGCAACGCCGCGUGCGGGAUGAC